GACGAACGCUGGCGGCGUGCUUAACACAUGCAAGUCGAACGCUGAAGCUCAGCUUUUGUUGGGUGGAUGAGUGGCGAACGGGUAAGUAACACGUGAGUAACCUGCCCCCUUCUUUGGGAUAACGCCCGGAAACGGGUGCUAAUACUGGAUAUUCACUGGUCUUCGCAUGGGGGUUGGUGGAAAGGGUUUUUCUGGUGGGGGAUGGGCUCGCGGCCUAUCAGCUUGUUGGUGGGGUGAUGGCCUACCAAGGCUUUGACGGGUAGCCGGCCUGAGAGGGUGACCGGUCACAUUGGGACUGAGAUACGGCCCAGACUCCUACGGGAGGCAGCAGUGGGGAAUAUUGCACAAUGGGCGCAAGCCUGAUGCAGCGACGCCGCGUGAGGGAUGGAGGCCUUCGGGUUGUGAACCUCUUUCGCUCAUGGUCAAGCCGCAACAAUGGUUGUGGUGAGGGUAGUGGGUAAAGAAGCGCCGGCUAACUACGUG
rnacentral:rRNA from 1 species